AUUACUAGAAUCAUCAUGAGCAUCACUAACAUCAUCAGACUCAUUCACCACUUCUUGUUUUGAUAUUAUCAACCUUAGUUUCCUUUCUUUAGAUGAUUUCAUGUUCUCAAGCAAGCACUCUACAUCUUUGGUAGAAUCAAUUGGCAGGAUAGAUGCAUUAGCAUUUCCUAUUCUCUUCUUGUAGUAGUAGUAGUCCCGCAGACAAAAUCCAAGUUCUUCUUUCAAAGUCAACAACCAGACAAAGUCUAAUUAUUUCCUAUCAAAUUUAGUCCUAACCCGGCGCACUAAUUGUCCAUCAGCCCCGAAGCAAUGUAACGUUACCUCCC
rnacentral:lncRNA from 1 species